CGGACGGGUGAGUAACGCGUGGAUAACCUGCCUCACACUGGGGAUAACAGUUAGAAAUGGCUGCUAAUACCGCAUAAGCGCACAGUACCGCAUGGUACGGUGUGAAAAACCCAGGUGGUGUGAGAUGGAUCCGCGUCUGAUUAGCCAGUUGGCGGGUAACGGCCCACCAAAGCGACGAUCAGUAGCCGACCUGAGAGGGUGACCGGCCACAUUGGGACUGAGACACGGCCCAA
rnacentral:rRNA from 1 species